rnacentral:rRNA from 1 species
GACGGAGGGUGCAAACGUUGUUCGGAAUCACUGGGCAUAAAGAGCACGUAGGCUGCGCGCUAAGUCAGGUGUGAAAUCCCCCGGCUCAACCGGGGAACUGCACCUGAUACUGGCGUGCUCGAGGACGGUAGGGGUGAGUGGAACUCCAGGUGGAGCGGUGAAAUGCGUAGAUAUCUGGAGGAACACCGGUGGCGAAAGCGGCUCACUGGACCGUCUCUGACGCUGAGGUGCGAAAGCGUGGGGAGCGAACAGG